GACGAACGCUGGCGGCGUGCCUAAUACAUGCAAGUAGAACGCUGAAGGAGGAGCUUGCUUCUCUGGAUGAGUUGCGAACGGGUGAGUAACGCGUAGGUAACCUGCCUGGUAGCGGGGGAUAACUAUUGGAAACGAUAGCUAAUACCGCAUAAUAGUAGAUGUUGCAUGACAUUUGCUUAAAAGGUGCAAUUGCAUCACUACCAGAUGGCCCUGCGUUGUAUUAGCUAGUUGGUGAGGUAACGGCUCACCAAGGCGACGAUACAUAGCCGACCUGCGAGGGUGAACGGCCACACUGGGACUGAGACACGGCCCAAACUCCUACGGGAGGCAGCAGGAGGGAAUCUUCGGCAAAGGACGGAAGUCUGACCGAGCAACGCCGCGGGAGUGAAGAAGGUUGUCGGAUCGUAAAGCUCUGUUGUAAGAGAAGAACGAGUGUGAGAGUGGAAAGUUCACACUGUGACGGUAUCUUACCAGAAAGGGACGGCUAACUACGUG
rnacentral:rRNA from 1 species